UUUCUUAUAUUUUCUAUUUGUUUAUUUAAUAUGUAAGAAAUUAUUUUCAUAGUGGAGUACACAGUACCACUUAUAAGGCGAGAAUUAGGCUUUGCUUUUGUCUGAUAAGAAUGUGUCCUUGCUGGUUGUUGCUACAGGCUGGGUCAAUGUUGCAGUGACUGUAAUUUUCGUUUCUAAUGUAUCUUCUUUUGUAUUAGGUUCUAACUCUUGUGGAUGAUCUAAUAUUGGUGUACCUCGAUUAGAGCUCAAGAUCAACAGAAUGGUGACUUUAGCUCCAACUUAAUUACCAGUUAUGCUUGAUCUUGAAGACCAAGCCAAGCAACAAGAUCUAAGCCUUGGAGAAGGGCAAGUAUGUCUUUUGCUCAUAGGUGGACUAAUCGGGACAAAGGCUCCACAUCCAUAUUCGCAAUAAUCAAAUUCCUCGCAAAAGUGCAGCGAAUGGAUUCCCGACUUGGUUGCUGGCGAUUGGAGCAGGAACCCUCCCUUUAGGAAUUCUCCUCAUUGAGCUAUUCUUCAUCACGUCUAGCGAAUGGCUCGGUCGUGUUUACUAUGUUCUUGGGUUUCUCUUGGUAUUAUUGAUCCUAUUGAUAGCUGUCUGUGCUGAAGUGUCUUUGGUCCUGACCUAUAUGCAUCUUUGUGUUGGAGAUUGGAGAUGGCAUAAUAGUUUAAAUUCAUUUCAAAAAGUUGUAUAUUGUGUUGCAAUUUUCAUUUUUCCUUGUAGAUGCUUAAUUAUUUUCCCAUGUGUGGAUUACUUUGAGGGAUCUGACAAUAAAUUUCGAAGUGAAGAAUACGAAUUCCUAAAGACAGAGGGAUGGAUGAAUGAUUCUUUUAGAGUUCUUUAGGAUUACAUUGAAAGACCUGAACUUCUCGGAUUAAUUGAAAUUGCAUAGUAGCAGUCGUUGAAUUUAAAUUUUUAGCUUCGUCUAUGUGAAACAACCUUUUUGAGCCUUUUUAACGGCAUAGAAUGAAGAUUAUGAUAAUGCUAUUGGUUGUGGCUACCAAGAUUGGCUGUAAUUGUCAGGUUGUUGAUAAUGAUUUGCAGUUUCAUGUAAA